UGCAGUUGAUGUUUGAUUUUUAAACAUAGCGAACGGGUGAGUAACGCGUGAAUUAUCUACCUUUUAAUUCAGAAUAAUUAUUUUAUAUAAAAAUACUGAAUAAAUAAAUUAAAGUUAUAAAACGUUAAAAGAUGAGUUUGCGUAAGAUUAGGUAGUUGGUAGUUUAAAAGACUACCAAGCCGACUAUCUUUAGCUGGUUUGAAAGAAUGAUCAGCCACAUUGGGACUGAGACACGGCCCAAACUUUUUUAAAGGCAGCAGUGAGGAAUUUUGGACAAUGAGCGAAAGCUUGAUCCAGCAAUACCAAGUGAGUGAAGAAGGCUAAUUAGGUUGUAAAGCUCUUUCAUUAAGGAGGAAAAUGACAGUACUUAAAAAAGAAGUUCCGGCUAAUACCCGUGCCAGCAGCCGCGGUAAUACGGGAGGAGCGAGCAUUAUUCGGAAUGAUUAGGCGUAAAGGGUUUGUAGGUGGUUUUUUAAGUUGAAAAAAACAAAUUAAAGCUUAACUUUAUAAAUUUUUUCAAAACUGAGAAACUUGAGUAUAAAUAGAGGAUAAUGGAAUUUCUAUUGGAGGGAUAAAAUAUGUUGAUAAUAGAAGGAAGACCUAAAGCGAAGGCAAUUAUCUGGGUAUAUACUGACACUGAGAAACGAAAGCUUGGGGAGCGAACAGGAUUAGAGACCCUGGUAGUCCAUGCUGUAAACGAUGAGUGCUCAUAUUUAGAUUUUUUAGAUAUCAAGCUAACGCGUUAAGCACUCCGCCUGAAAAGUAUAAUCGCAAGAUCGAAAUUCAAAGGAAUUGACGGGAGCCUACACAAGCGGUGGAGCAUGUGGUUUAAUUCGAUAAUACGCGCAGA
rnacentral:rRNA from 1 species